UUUUAGGUAAGGCUAAAAAAACAGACAGAAGUAAAGUUGAAGAUCAAAAUAGAACAAAUUUAUGAAGUUUCGUAAGCAUUCCUAUCAGCACGAAACAGAGUGUUUAACAUAUCCAAAUUAAAAACAACAAUAACAGCAACAGCAAAUUUUGCCAAGAGGAAACUUGGAAGUUGAAGUGAUUUGGGUCUUCUGUUUGAUCUGCAGCAAGAAGAAAACACUGCUCCUCGACUACAUGAUGCACUUGGAGUCACGAGUGGAUUUGAAUGUCAGUGCCACCUUUUUCCUAGAAAACUUCAGACUCUACUGGACGGUGAUGUUACAGUCUCAGAGUCCUGUUACCUUCAUUUAGUGGUUACAACUGGAAGGAAUAUUUACGAUAGUGGAGGACAAAGGCAUGCGAAACACGUGGGGAAGGAAUGUGAUAAUCUAGGAAGCAUGGACUAUAUCAUAUUUUGGUAUUCUCAGAGUCUGGCAGCUAAAAGGCAUAUCUUAAGCAUUGGUGACACCAGUAGUGAGACCAGAAAGGAAGAUAUAUUCUGAAUGAGACCAAAAACAAAACUACAGGUAAAGGAGAAGAAGCAAUACUCCCCACAUUGCAUGAUGCAAGAGAAUAAGGACCACAUUGCUAAAACCUGCUGUAUUACACACACACACACACACACACACACACACACACACACCUUUGUAUUAGGGCACAGACUUAAUAUUUCUAAUUAUUUAUAAAUAUCUAAAUAUAUAGGUAUUUAUAUAUUUAUAAAUUUAUAUU
rnacentral:lncRNA from 1 species